rnacentral:rRNA from 1 species
UCUUAUGUACAUGCCUAUAGCGUUAAUGCAUCGGAUCCUAUCAAAACUCCACAGUUAAGCGUGCUUGGGCUAGAGUAGUACUAGGAUGGGUGACCUCCUGGGAAGUCCUAAUAUUGUAUAUGCC